AUUGAACGCUGGCGGCAGGCCUAACACAUGCAAGUCGAGCGAGCGGCGGACGGGUGAGUAAUGUCUGGGAAACUGCCUGAUGGAGGGGGAUAACUACUGGAAACGGUAGCUAAUACCGCAUACCAUCAAAUGUGCCCAGAUGGGAUUGGCUAGUUGGUGGGGUAACGGCUCACCAAGGCGACGAUCCCUAGCUGGUCUGAGAGGAGGACCAGCCACACUGGAACGGAGACACGCUCCAGACUCCAACGGGAGGCAGCAGUGGGGAAUAUUGCACAAUGGGCGAAAGCCGAAUGCAGCCAGGCCGCGUGUAUGAAGAGGGCCUUCGGUUUGUAAAGUACUUUCAGCGGGGAGGCGUUACCCGCAGAAGAAGCAACGGCUAACUCCGUGCCAGCAGCCGCGGUAAUAC
rnacentral:rRNA from 1 species